AGUGAACGCUGGCGGUAGGCCUAACACAUGCAAGUCGAACGGCAGCACAGUAAGAGCUUGCUCUUACGGGUGGCGAGUGGCGGACGGGUGAGGAAUACAUCGGAAUCUACUUUUUCGUGGGGGAUAACGUAGGGAAACUUACGCUAAUACCGCAUACGACCUACGGGUGAAAGCAGGGGUUCUUCGGACCUUGCGCGAUUGAAUGAGCCGAUGUCGGAUUAGCUAGUUGGCGGGGUAAAGGCCCACCAAGGCGACGAUCCGUAGCUGGUCUGAGAGGAUGAUCAGCCACACUGGGACUGAGACACGGUCCAGACUCCUACGGGAGGCAGCAGUGGGGAAUAUUGGACAAUGGGCGCAAGCCUGAUCCAGCCAUACCGCGUGGGUGAAGAAGGCCUUCGGGUUGUAAAGCCCUUUUGUUGGGAAAGAAAAGCAGCAGGUUAAUACCCCGCUGUUCUGACGGUACCCAAAGAAUAAGCACCGGCUAACUUCGUG
rnacentral:rRNA from 1 species